rnacentral:misc_RNA from 1 species
GAAACGCGAUAGUUAAUGUGAAUUGCAGAAUUCAGUGAAUCAUCGAGUCUUUGAACGCACAUUGCGCCCAUAGGUAUUCCUUUGGGCAUGUCUGUUUGAGCGUCAUUACAACCCUCAGCUAACCGCUGGUUUUGAACCUGAACGGGUGACACCGCGCCGGUUUUAAAGUUGUAAGCUCUGCUGGCCGCCCUGCCCAACCAGAACAUAGUAAGCACUACUUGUCCGGGUGAAGCUGAACGGUACGGCCUGAACAAAACCUACCCACUCUCAAGGUUUGACCUCAGAUCAGACAAGGAUACCCGCUGAACUUAAGC